CAAGCGGCCGAGAUGAGUUUCCUCCGCAGGGUGGCUGGGCGCUCCCUUAGAGAUAGGGUGAGGAGCUCAGUCACUCGGGAGGAGCUCGGAGUCGAGCUGCUGCUCCUCCACGUCGAAAUGAGUCAGAUGAGUUGGCUCGGGCAUCUCUUCCGGAUGCCCCUGGACGCCUCGCGUGGAGAGGUGUUCCGGGCCCGUCCCAUUGGGAGGAGGCCCCGGGGAAAGA